rnacentral:rRNA from 1 species
GUUUAAGCGUGUAGGCUGGUUUUCCAGGCAAAUCCGGAAAAUCAAGGCUGAGGCGUGAUGACGAGGCACUACGGUGCUGAAGCAACAAAUGCCCUGCUUCCAGGAAAAGCCUCUAAGCAUCAGGUAACAUCAAAUCGUACCCCAAACCGACACAGGUGGUCAGGUAGAGAAUACCAAGGCGCUUGAGAGAACUCGGGUGAAGGAACUAGGCAAAAUGGUGCCGUAACUUCGGGAGAAGGCACGCUGAUAUGUAGGUGAAGUCCCUCGCGGAUGGAGCUGAAAUCAGUCGAAGAUACCAGCUGGCUGCAACUGUUUAUUAAAAACACAGCACUGUGCAAACACGAAAGUGGACGUAUACGGUGUGACGCCUGCCCGGUGCCGGAAGGUUAAUUGAUGGGGUCAGCGCAAGCGAAGCUCUUGAUCGAAGCCCCGGUAAACGGCGGCCGUAACUAUAACGGUCCUAAGGUAGCGAAAUUCCUUGUCGGGUAAGUUCCGACCUGCACGAAUGGCGUAAUGAUGGCCAGGCUGUCUCCACCCGAGACUCAGUGAAAUUGAACUCGCUGUGAAGAUGCAGUGUACCCGCGGCAAGACGGAAAGACCCCGUGAACCUUUACUAUAGCUUGACACUGAACAUUGAGCCUUGAUGUGUAGGAUAGGUGGGAGGCUUUGAAGUGUGGACGCCAGUCUGCAUGGAGCCGACCUUGAAAUACCACCCUUUAAUGUUUGAUGUUCUAACGUGGACCCGUGAUCCGGGUUGCGGACAGUGUCUGGUGGGUAGUUUGACUGGGGCGGUCUCCUCCUAAAGAGUAACGGAGGAGCACGAAGGUUGGCUAAUCCUGGUCGGACAUCAGGAGGUUAGUGCAAUGGCAUAAGCCAGCUUGACUGCGAGCGUGACGGCGCGAGCAGGUGCGAAAGCAGGUCAUAGUGAUCCGGUGGUUCUGAAUGGAAGGGCCAUCGCUCAACGGAUAAAAGGUACUCCGGGGAUAACAGGCUGAUACCGCCCAAGAGUUCAUAUCGACGGCGGUGUUUGGCACCUCGAUGUCGGCUCAUCACAUCCUGGGGCUGAAGUAGGUCCCAAGGGUAUGGCUGUUCGCCAUUUAAAGUGGUACGCGAGCUGGGUUUAGAACGUCGUGAGACAGUUCGGUCCCUAUCUGCCGUGGGCGCUGGAGAACUGAGGGGGGCUGCUCCUAGUACGAGAGGACCGGAGUGGACGCAUCACUGGUGUUCGGGUUGUCAUGCCAAUGGCACUGCCCGGUAGCUAAAUGCGGAAGAGAUAAGUGCUGAAAGCAUCUAAGCACGAAACUUGCCCCGAGAUGAGUUCUCCCUGACCCUUUAAGGGUCCUGAAGGAACGUUGAAGACGACGACGUUGAUAGGCCGGGUGUGUAAGCGCAGCGAUGCGUUGAGCUAACCGGUACUAAUGAACCGUGAGGCUUAACCUUACAACGCCGAAGGUGUUU